rnacentral:tRNA from 1 species
GCUUCUCUUGCGUAACGGUAGCGCAGCUGAUUUGUAAUCAGCCGGUUGUUGGUUCGAAUCCGACGGGAAGCU